rnacentral:misc_RNA from 1 species
CAAGAAGAGACCCUAACCGGUCCUCUCAACCCUGCCCAUCGUACCUUUUUUGUUGUUCCCUCGGCGGUGCUCGCGGGCCCGCCGGCGGGAAGACCAAACAAACCCUUUGCAAACAAGCAUAUCGAAUCUCCGAUCAAACAUGAAUUGUCA